rnacentral:rRNA from 1 species
AUUGAACGCUGGCGGCAGGCCUAACACAUGCAAGUCGAGCGAGCGUCGGACGGGUGAGUAAUGUAUGGGGACUGCCCGAUAGAGGGGGAUAACUACUGGAAACGGUAGCUAAUACCGCAUACUAUCGGAUAACCCAUAUGGGAUUAGCUAGUAUGUGAGGUAAUGGCUAACCUAGGCGACGAUCCCUACCUGGUCUGAGAGGGUGAUCAGCCAAACUGGGACUGAGACACGGCCCAGAAUCCUACGGAGGCAGCAGUGGGGAAUAUUGCACAAUGGGAGCAAGCCUGAUGCAGCCAUACCGCGUGUAUGAAGAAGGCCCUAGGGUUGUAAAGUACUUUCAGUCGGGAGGCGUUACCGACAGAAGAAGCACCGGCUAACUCCGUGCCAGCAGCCGCGGUAAUAC